rnacentral:tRNA from 1 species
GCCGAUGUAGCUCAGUUGGUCAGAGCAGCUGAUUUGUAAUCAGCAGGUCGGGGGUUCGAAUCCCUUCAUCGGCU